AUCUCUGUUUCAUUUUAAAAAUAAUACAUUAAGUUAUUCAAACCCAGAUAAAGAUGACAAAUUAUCUGUUCUUCAGAGGGAUUAGAUGGUCAGAGAGUAAUUACAUGCUUACACUGCUUACCAAAGUUAAAUAAAUACAUCACGAGAUACAUACUGUUCAUUAUGAGCACUGCCAGUGCGCGGUCUUCUGUGAGGAGAGCAGUGGGACUUGGACAUUUCCAUUCAAAGAGUUUUCAUAUCUUCUUUUGUUCCAGAAGUGGAGUAAGACAAUUAAGAUGUAAGGAACUAAUGUGCUAAUAUAGAAAACAGCAACAUGAAGUCUUAAGGUAAAUAUGCCAUGUGAAAAAACAAACAAACAACAACAACAAAGUUUCACUUUUCAAGGGGCUUAAUGUAUUGCUUUGUAUUUAUUGUAAUUCACAAACUAAUACUAAAGAUAUUAUUAAUAAUUAAUUAAACUAAUGUUUUCUGCUAUUUCUUCUUUACAACAUAAAAAAUGCAUAAAUAAUAUUUAUUUUUUUUCAUAACUACUCUAUAUUGACA
rnacentral:lncRNA from 1 species